CCUGAGAAACGGCUACCACAUCCAAGGAAGGCAGCAGGCGCGCAAAUUACCCACUCCCGGUACGGGGAGGUAGUGACGAAAAAUAACAAUACGGGACUCUUUUGAGACCCCGUAAUUGGAUUGAGCACAGCCUAAAUCCUUUAGCGAUUAUCAAUUGGAGGACAAGCCARGUGCCAGCACCCGCGGWAACACUUGCUCCAAUAGCGUAUAUUAAAGUUGUUGCGGUUAAAAAGCUCGUAGUUGGAUCUCAGUUCUAGUCGGGCGGUCCGCCUAACGGCGAUAACUGCCCGUUCUGAACAGCUCAGCCGGKUUCCCUUGAUGAUCUUUACCGGUUGUCUCGGUUGACCGGCACGUUUACUUUGAAUAAAUUAGAGUGCUCARAGCAGGCGAGANGCCUGGACAAUGGUGCAUGGAAUAAUGGAAUAGGACCUCGGUUCUAUUUUGUUGGUUUUCGGAACACGAGGUAAUGAUUAARAGGGACAGACGGGGGCAUUCGUAUUGCGACGCUAGAG
rnacentral:rRNA from 1 species